rnacentral:rRNA from 1 species
UACGUAGGGGGCGAGCGUUGUCCGGAGUUACUGGGCGUAAAGCGCUUGUAGGCGGUCCACCAAGUUUGGGGUGACAGUUGCCGACUUAAUCGGCAAAGUGCCUCAAAGACUGGCGGACUUGAGGGCCACAGAGGGACAUGGAACUCCAGGUGUAGUGGUGAAGUGCGUAGAUAUGUGGAGGAAUACCGAUGGCGAAGGCAGCCUCCUGGGCCAACACUGACGCUCAUGCACGAAAGCGUGGGGAGCAAACAGG